rnacentral:lncRNA from 1 species
AUGAAGUUCCCAAAAUGCAGAGCCCUGUGGCCCUUAACUCAAGCAGCGUGCGCUGUUUGCCAUCCCCAGACCGGGGCUUCACUCCCAGUGCUCCCAGUCCCCUCCCAGAGCAUCCCGGCGCCCCUGGGAGCGCUCCAGGAGCCGGGAGCGGCCGCUGGCUGUGCCCAUUUCCCACCCCCAGCCCAAGGAGCCGACCCCCGGCCGGGGCAUUUUCACUUUCAGUUUCCCCGGGAUUUACGGGAAAUCAGUGCAGAAGCGAGAAAGGAGGUGCUGGGGGGCGGGAGGAGCCCGUGGGGGUGGAUCGGGAGCGGCAGGGUGAGAUAUAACCGGGAUACAGCGGGGAGGGGGGGGAGAGUGACCCCCACCGCGGAGCUGCUUCUUCCCUGCCUUGCCCCAGUGGCUAGAAGAAAUGAUCCGGUCGAGGUCGUUCACAGGAAGCUUAACUAAGACCAUAAGUAAGUGUGGACUUAUGUAUCCCAUUCUCUUGGCUGUGGGCAUCCUCGGGAGCCCUUGGGAUGCGAUGUGUUAUUCCCGAGAGAAGAGAGGCCAGUGGAGGUCUCUCCCCUGAGCAUGUUAUCUGCAGAACCCCUUCCAGAGCACAGCAGAAAGCCUGGCCUUUGGGGUGGGAUCACUUUGAUCAGAGGGGUGACCUUAUUUGACAAGAGGCACACCCUGCUCUAGCAGGGGGUAUUGCUGAGCAAGGCUUUGAGGGUCAGGCUGAGAUGAAUGUGCGAAGGGACAGAACAGGGACCUGGGAGGUCCCUCUCCACUCCCGUGGUGUGAGGCUGAAGAGCCUCACCCUCUUGUGGUGGCUGUGCUCUGGUGGGACCUGUGUGGUGCCUAGGUUCUGUGGCAGCUGAGGCAGCUUCCUGGCCCAGGAGAGCCUCAGUGGGCCCCGAGGGUCAGAAACCCCCCAGCACUGCUGUGGGGCUCCUGGUUCACAGAAACUCAUGGCUCCUGGGCCAGCGGCAGGAUAUGUUCUGCCCCUAAACCUGCUCAGUGCAAUCCUGGAGUUUCUUAGGGAAAGGCCCUGGUUAAAGAUCCUCUUUUUCUUCUUGAUUUUAUUUUCACAUGUACCUGAUGUCCAGUAACAACGGUCGUUGGCUAUGGGGUUGAGAAACUCAUAGAAAUUAUGUUCGAAGAAUCAAGUAAGUGUGCUGAAUGCCAUUCCUCUUGUCUGUGGUCAUCCUUGGGAACUCUUGGGAUGUGAUGUGUUAUCCCUGAGAGAAGUGAGGCCAGUGGAUGUCUCUUCCCUGAGCACACUGCCUGCAGAACCCCUUAAAGAGCAGAAGGCCUGGCCUUUGGGGUGGGAUCAGUUUGGUCAGAGAGGUGAUCUUCUUUGACCAGAGACACAUGCUACUCAAGCAGGAGGUAUUGCUGAGCAAUUGGUAAUGAUUUCAAAGGCAUAGCACAUCCCUUCUGGGAUUUCCUUUCCUCUCUCUGAACA